rnacentral:rRNA from 1 species
UACGUAGGUGGCAAGCGUUGUUCGGAAUUACUGGGCGUAAAGGGCGCGUAGGCGGCCGCCUAAGUCAGACGUGAAAUCCCUCGGCUCAACCGGGGAACUGCGUCUGAUACUGGGUGGCUUGAAUUCGGGAGAGGGAUGCGGAAUUCCAGGUGUAGCGGUGAAAUGCGUAGAUAUCUGGAGGAACACCGGUGGCGAAGGCGGCAUCCUGGACCGAGAUUGACGCUGAGGCGCGAAAGCCAGGGGAGCAAAGCGGG